CGAGCGGAACGAGUUAUCUGAACCUUCGGGGAACGAUAACGGCGUCGAGCGGCGGACGGGUGAGUAAUGCCUGGGAAAUUGCCCUGAUGUGGGGGAUAACCAUUGGAAACGAUGGCUAAUACCGCAUAAUAGCUUCGGCUCAAAGAGGGGGACCUUCGGGCCUCUCGCGUCAGGAUAUGCCCAGGUGGGAUUAGCUAGUUGGUGAGGUAAGGGCUCACCAAGGCGACGAUCCCUAGCUGGUCUGAGAGGAUGAUCAGCCACACUGGAACUGAGACACGGUCCAGACUCCUACGGGAGGCAGCAGUGGGGAAUAUUGCACAAUGGGCGCAAGCCUGAUGCAGCCAUGCCGCGUGUAUGAAGAAGGCCUUCGGGUUGUAAAGUACUUUCAGCAGUGAGGAAGGUGGUGUGCUUAAUACGCACAUCAUUUGACGUUAGCUGCAGAAGAAGCACCGGCUAACUCCGUGCCAGCAGCCGCGGUAAUACGGAGGGUGCGAGCGUUAAUCGGAAUUACUGGGCGUAAAGCGCAUGCAGGUGGUUUGUUAAGUCAGAUGUGAAAGCCCGGGGCUCAACCUCGGAAUUGCAUUUGAAACUGGCAGACUAGAGUACUGUAGAGGGGGGUAGAAUUUCAGGUGUAGCGGUGAAAUGCGUAGAGAUCUGAAGGAAUACCGGUGGCGAAGGCGGCCCCCUGGACAGAUACUGACACUCAGAUGCGAAAGCGUGGGGAGCAAACAGGAUUAGAUACC
rnacentral:rRNA from 1 species